UGGGGUGCUCGAGUGGCGAACGGGUGAGUAACACGUGAGUAACCUGCCCUUGACUUUGGGAUAACUUCAGGAAACUGGGGCUAAUACCGGAUAGGAGCUCCUGCUGCAUGGUGGGGGUUGGAAAGUUUCGGCGGUUGGGGAUGGACUCGCGGCUUAUCAGCUUGUUGGUGGGGUAGUGGCUUACCAAGGCUUUGACGGGUAGCCGGCCUGAGAGGGUGACCGGCCACAUUGGGACUGAGAUACGGCCCGG
rnacentral:rRNA from 1 species